AAUGGGUCCAGCUGUUGAGAAAGCAAGCAAGGGAAUUUUAGCGGAUGUUUUGAAAUGUUUGGGUGACAAUAAAAAGCAUAUGAGGGAAUGCACAUUGAAUACUUUAGAUUCUUGGCUCUCUGCUGUUCAUCUUGAUAAAAUGGUUCCUUACAUUGCAGCAGCUUGGACAGAUGCAAAACUUGGUGCGGAAGGGCGCAAAGAUCUUUUUGAGUGGUUGUCAAAACAACUGUCUGGGUUAACUGAAUUUCCUGAUGCUGUACAGCUACUAAAGCCAACUUCCUCUGCUCUGACGAUAAUUCUGACUUGUCAAAAACACUGAAAUAUUCUUUUUUACUUGUUUGCAUUGCUAGAAUAUUUCCAUGCUAACAAUAAUGUGCAUAGAGAUGUAAGAAUCAUGAUGCCAGUUCCCUUUCCAUUGUUUCUGGUUAUGACUUUAUGAAAUUUUCAUCCAGGAUAAAUCAUCAGAUGUUCGUAAAGCAGCAGAGACAUGCAUUGCUGAAAUCUUGAGAGUUUGUACACAAGAAACUGUUGAGAAGCUUGUUAGGGAUGUUCAGGGACCAACUUUAGCACUUGUUCAUGACGUUUGAAGCAUUAUGGUAAUUUUCAAGAAUCUUUUGAAUCUGCCAAAACAAUUUCGGCCCCUGCAUCCAAGACCCUUUCGAAAGUGGGUAAAUCCACUUCUAAUGGUGUUUU